GACGAACGCUGGCGGCGUGCUUAAUACAUGCAAGUCAACUGAACUUAAGAUAGCAAUACUUUAAGGGAGGUGGCGCACGGGUGAGUAACACGUAGGUAAUCCGCCUUUAGGUCUGACAUAACCUACCGAAAGGUAGGCUAAAAUCAGAUGAUGCAGCGGCUCGACAUCGAGACAGUUGUUAAAUCUUCGGAGCCUAGAGGAUGAGCCUGCGUCUGAUUAGGUAGUUGGCGGAGUAAUAGCCCACCAAGCCUGCGAUCAGUAGCUGGUCUGAGAGGAUGAUCAGCCACACUGGAACUGAGACACGGUCCAGACUCCUACGGGAGGCAGCAGUAAGGAAUAUUGUCUCAAUGGCCGAAAGGCUGAAGCAGCAACGCCGCGU
rnacentral:rRNA from 1 species